rnacentral:rRNA from 1 species
GUGCCAGCCGCUGCGGUAAUACGGAGGGUGCAAGCGUUAUCCGGAUUCACUGGGUUUAAAGGGAGCGCAGGUGGGUUGGUAAAGUCAGAGGUGAAAUCUCCGAGCUUAACUCGGAAACUGCCUUUGAUACUAUCAGUCUUGAAUAUUGUUGAGGUUAGCGGAAUAUGUCAUGUAGCGGUGAAAUGCUUAGAUAUGACAUAGAACACCAAUUGCGAAGGCAGCUGGCUAAACAUAUAUUGACACUGAGGCUCGAAAGCGUGGGGAUCAAACAGGAUUAGAUACCCUGGUAGUCCACGCCCUAAACUAUGGAUACUCGACAUACGCGAUACACAGUGUGUGUCUGAGCGAAAGCAUUAAGUAUCCCACUGGGAAGUACGAUCGCAAGAUUGAAACUCAAAGGAAUUGGACGGGGUCCGCACAAGCGGUGGAGCA